AUUGAACGCUGGCGGCAUGCCUUACACAUGCAAGUCGAACGGUAACAGGUCUUCUGCUGCUGACGAUUGGCGCACGGGGGAGUAAUACAUCGGAACGUGCCCGACCGUGGGGUGUAACGAGGCUAAAGCUUUGCUAAUACCGCAUACGAUCUACGUAUGAAGGCGGGGGAGCUUCGGACCGCGCGCUGGCGGAGCGGCCGAUGGCCGAUUAGGUAGGUGGUGGGCUAAAAGCUUACCAAGCCGACGAUCUGUAGCUGGUCUGCGAGGAUGAUCAGCCACCCUGGGACUGAGACACGGACCAGACUCCUACGGGAGGCAGCAGUGGGGAAUUUUGGACAAUAGGCGAGAGCAUGAUACAGCGAUGCCGCGUGCAGGAUGAAGGCCUUCGGGUUGUAAACUGCUUUUGUACGGAGCGAAAAGCCUCCUUCUAAUAAAGAGGGGUCAUGACGGUACCGGAAGAAGAAGCACCGGCUAACUACGUG
rnacentral:rRNA from 1 species